UAAGGAAUAUUGGUCAAUGGACGCAAGUCUGAACCAGCCAUGCCGCGUGAAGGAUGAAGGUCCUCUGGAUUGUAAACUUCUUUUAUCUGGGACGAAAAAAGGGCUUUCUAGCUCACUUGACGGUACCAGAGGAAUAAGCACCGGCUAACUCCGUGCCAGCAGCCGCGGUAAUACGGAGGGUGCGAGCGUUAUCCGGAUUUACUGGGUUUAAAGGGUGCGUAGGUGGGCAGGUAAGUCAGUGGUGAAAUCUUCGAGCUUAACUCGGAAACUGCCAUUGAUACUAUCUGUCUUGAAUGCCCUGGAGGUAAGCGGAAUAUGUCAUGUAGCGGUGAAAUGCUUAGAUAUGACAUAGAACACCAAUUGCGAAGGCAGCUUACUACGGGGUGAUUGACACUGAGGCACGAAAGCGUGGGGAUCAAACAGG
rnacentral:rRNA from 1 species